CGCUGACUGUGUUGGCUGCAUG
rnacentral:sRNA from 1 species